CUACGGGGGCUGCAGUGGGGAAUUUUGGACAAUGGGCGAAAGCCUGAUCCAGCCAUUCCGCGUGAGUGAUGAAGGCCUUCGGGUUGUAAAGCUCUUUCGGCUGGGAAGAAAUCGUGCAGGUUAAUACCCUGUGCGGAUGACGGUACCGGACUAAGAAGCACCGGCUAACUACGUGCCAGCAGCCGCGGUAAUACGUAGGGUGCGAGCGUUAAUCGGAAUUACUGGGCGUAAAGCGUGCGCAGGCGGAUGUUUAAGCCAGAUGUGAAAUCCCCGAGCUUAACUUGGGAACUGCAUUUGGAACUGGGCAUCUAGAGUGUGUCAGAGGGGGGUAGAAUUCCACGUGUAGCAGUGAAAUGCGUAGAGAUGUGGAGGAAUACCGAUGGCGAAGGCAGCCCCCUGGGAUAACACUGACGCUCAUGUACGAAAGCGUGGGGAGCAAACAGGAUUAGAUACCCUUGUAGUC
rnacentral:rRNA from 1 species